UGAAAUCAUGUAAACACAUCAUGUAUAUUCACGAUUUGCUUUCAUGGGCUUUCAUUACUGAUCAGUCCGCUGUUUGGAAAGCACAACAAAGUGCGAUAUGAUAAACAAUUUAAUACUAAAUUGUGGAAUUGAUAAUUGGAAGCAUUAAAUUUUAGUUGUAGAAGGUAAACUACCAAUGUCCCCAGAUUUUGAAACAUUGAAAGUGCGGUGUUACAGCAACCCAACAGGCAGCAUAAGAAUGACGUCACGAGGAACCGACAUGCAGAAAAAUAAUGGGUUCGAGUCCAAGGGUCUGAUUUUACUACUGAUAUGUGGGUUUUAUGCUGUUAUCCUGUUUAUAGUAGCACGUUUGUUGAGCUACGCAGCAUCUAAAAUAUUAUCACCAGUGAAGUCAGCUAUGUUCAGGGUUGAGGAAACUGAGAUGUUUGUUAAAGACCUGUCUGACCAAAACAACAACAGUAGUCCAGUGUUGAAAUUCAAACGAGAACAACAACAACGAACGCGGACAUUUUCGCAUGGUUGAAAAUAUCACUUGAAAUUCUCAUGGAUUAAAACUUCAUUCUCCAAUGAUUGGACAAGAACUUAAGCUUAAAUUUGCUUAGUUUCAUCCAUUAAACCCUAAGGGAAAAUGUGGAAAUAAUCAUAAGUAUGUUUUUAACACAAUGGAAAAAUGAACACAAAGGUCCAAUUCUUGUGUUUUAAAAGCGGCUGGUCCAGUCUUGCUACUGUAACUGGUAAUUCGUUAAAAUGAAUAGGUCGUUUAACAGAAAACCGAAAAUUGGUAUUGCGCAGGAUAAAACUGUCCAAAAACUAAAAUACCAACCAGUUACGUAUAAUGCCAGCAAUAUAGUGCAUUUUUUAUGUAUCCGGUUUUGAAACAGAUUGCAUUAUUAUUCAACACGUGAAUAAUCACACCAUGUACCAGAUAUGGCAAGAUAAUAUAAACUUGACAUUGAACUUUGACGCUAGCCAUGAACCAGAUAAAACUGGAUAAUGUUUACACGUUGGAAAUUGUACUUUGAUAAGCACCUGUAUUUAUGUUUAUCUUAUAUGUCUGCUCAUAGGUACAAGGACUAACUGAUAAGCUGUCAAGGACAACUUUUUUGUCUGCUAUGUACUUAAACAUAAAUUUGUGGGUCGCGAUAAGAAGCGCCUUCUAGCGGUGCGACCUGAAUGCAUUUGAAUGUUUGAGUUCUUAAUUUCAAAUGUAGCUAAACGCUUCUAGAUAUUUUUGUUUCAUAUCAGAAACUUACCAUUUUGUAUUAAACAAAGAAUACUCAAACAAAAUAAAACAAUAGUGAACGACUUUUAAUGCUAUACUUUUAUAGUUUAGAUAAACAUAAAUGCAACUUUUUUAGAUAGUUUGUUAUUUUUAUGCCAAAGAAAUUAAUAUUGAAAUAAAAGUGAGUUUAGAUAAAUUGUAUAAAAACAAUUUAAUUAGUAUAGAUAAAUUGUAUAAAAAUAAACAAUGUAAAAUAAUGCAAGAUGUUGAUUCUCACAUUUGAUUGAAUGAGAAUAUAUGUUGCUUUUUUAUUUGUACAUUUGUGUUUAAAAAUGGCAUUUUUAUUUUGUUUUUACUAUGUAUGUACAUUUUGUAUUUUUGAAAAUUGAUUAUCAAAAUGUUUAUGAUAACACGGAUUUAUAUUAUAUGUAAUAUAAAUCCGUGAUGAUAAUAUGCAAGAAAAGUUAGAAAAAAAAAACAGAAAGAAGAAAAAAAUAAAAUCAAAGAACCAAUGCUUGUUUUUAUUUCAUUAUUUUUAUUAUAAGAAAAUUUAUAAUCGAUAAUGAUAAUUCUGUCAAUUGAUAUGAACAAGCACCUUUUUAAAUGUUGUAUCGAACAUUACGAAAUUUGCGUCAGCAAGUCGUAAUAUAUUGUCUUUCUGCGCAUGUGCGGACCAAGGACAGUUCAGACGUCUCGAAUUAAAUGAAAGCAAUUAAUGAAGAAUUUCAUCUCCAAAUCCCUCCCGAGGCGUGCACGUCGCGGAGAAGGCACACGGCAGGUCAAGGUCAAGUCGUCUCAAGUACCAGAGACGAUUGGUUGACCUGUCGUGACUAACUCGGGAGGGUGGCGCUAACAAGAGCCGUUUUAUGUUAACCGCCUGUUUGCUGCCGUCACGGAACAUGAUGCUUUGCCAGUAUUGUAUUUUCCUCCAACGAACGAAGAACAGGAUAAGAAAGAUCGGCUUGAAAAAACACGUCCCCGAUGAGACUUCUAGAGUAGACCGGCAUGGACGCUAAGAUCUCGGACAUAUGUAAUUUCCGGCGCCGAACUAAAAUAAAACUAAAACACACACAAAAUGUUUUGAAGAAUGUAGGACCAACCAGAUUAAUGCAGGCAAAUGACUAAACUCAAGCAAAAUCACAAACCCUUUCUUAAAAAAAAACAA